rnacentral:rRNA from 1 species
UACGUAGGGUGCGAGCGUUGUCCGGAAUUAUUGGGCGUAAAGAGCUCGUAGGCGGUUUGUCGCGUCGUUCGUGAAAACUCCACGCUUAACGUGGAGCGUGCGGGCGAUACGGGCAGACUUGAGUUCGGUAGGGGAGACUGGAAUUCCUGGUGUAGCGGUGAAAUGCGCAGAUAUCAGGAGGAACACCGGUGGCGAAGGCGGGUCUCUGGGCCGGUACUGACGCUAAGGCGCGAAAGCGUGGGGAGCGAACAGG